UACAGAGGGUGCGAGCGUUAAUCGGAAUUACUGGGCGUAAAGCGUGCGUAGGCGGCUAUCUAAGUCGGGUGUGAAAGCCCCGGGCUCAACCUGGGAAUUGCAUUCGAGACUGAAUAGCUAGAGUACGGUAGAGGGAAGCGGAAUUUCCGGUGUAGCGGUGAAAUGCGUAGAUAUCGGAAGGAACAUCAGUGGCGAAAGCGGCUUCCUGGACCAGUACCGACGUUCAGGCACGAAAGCGUGGGGAGCAAACAGG
rnacentral:rRNA from 1 species